rnacentral:rRNA from 1 species
CCUACGGGAGGCAGCAGUGAGGAAUAUUGGUCAAUGGACGAGAGCCUGAACCAGCCACGUAGCGUGAAGGAUGACUGCCCUAUGGGUUGUAAACUUCUUUUAUAUGGGAAUAAAUUGCUGCACGUGUGGGAUUUUGUAUGUACCAUAUGAAUAAGGAUCGGCUAACUCCGUGCCAGCAGCCGCGGUAAUACGGAGGAUCCGAGCGUUAUCCGGAUUUAUUGGGUUUAAAGGGAGCGUAGGUGGAUUGUUAAGUCAGUUGUGAAAGUUUGCGGCUCAACCGUACAAUUGCAGUUGAAACUGGCAGUCUUGAGUACAGUAGAGGUAGGCGGAAUUCGUGGUGUAGCGGUGAAAUGCGUAGAUAUCACGAAGAACUCCGAUUGCGAAGGCAGUUCACUGGACUGCAACUGACACUGAGGCUCGAAAGUGUGGGUAUCAAACAGGAUUAGAUACCCGAGUAGUC